rnacentral:ncRNA from 1 species
CAAAGGUUUGGUCCUAGCCUUUCUAUCAGCCCUAGCUAAAAUUAUACAUGCAAGUAUCCGCACCCCUGUGAGAAUGCCCUACAGUUUCCCACCCGGAAACAAGGAACUGGUAUCAGGCACACCCAUGUAUCGCCCACGACACCUUGCUCUGCCACACCCUCAAGGGAAACCAGCAGUAAUAAACAUUAAGCUAUGAGUGAAAACUUGACUUAGUUACAGCUACUAGGGCCGGUUAAAUUCGUGCCAGCCACCGCGGUUAUACGAAAGGCCCAAGUUGAUAGUUCUCGGCGUAAAGGGUGGUUAAGUUAAUCUAACUAUACUAAAGCCGAAUACCUCCAAAACUGUAAUACGUUCUCGGAGAGACGAAGCCCAACUACGAAAGUGGCUUUAAAAACCUGACCCCACGAAAGCUGAGAAACAAACUGGGAUUAGAUACCCCAUUAUGCUCAGCCCUAAAAUUUGACAUUCUUUCCUACACAUCAUCUCGCCUGGGUACUACAAGCACUAGCUUAAAACCCAAAGGACUUGGCGGCGCUUAAAAUCCAUCUAGAGGAGCCUGUUCUUGAACCGAUACCCCCCGUUUUACCUUACCCUCUCUAGCCCAAACCGCCUAUAUACCGCCGUCGUCAGCUCACCCUGUGAGGGAUCAACAGUAAGCAAAAUUAGCAUGGCCCAAAACGUCAGGUCGAGGUGUAGCGUAUGAGAGGGCUAGAAAUGGGCUACAUUCCCUCUAUAGGGAACUACGAAUUAUAAAUUGAAACAUUUAUCAUGAAGGAGGAUUUAGCAGUAAAUUAAAAAAGAGUAUUUAAUUGAAACAGGCACUAAAGCAUGCACACACCGCCCGUCACUCUCCCCUAAAAACAAAUUCCUUAUUUAUUUAAUAACAUUUAAAAAAUAAGGGGAGGCAAGUCGUAACAUGGUAAGUGUACCGGAAGGUGCACUUGGCUUAG